GGCCCGACGCGUCUGCCGCCCGCCGUGGCUCCCGAUCUCCGCUCCCCUUCCGCUCGCACCCUCCUACUCCCGGCGGCGGCUGAAGGCGGCGGCGCGGUGUCAGGUUGGUGGUGAUUUUUGAGCGAUGGCGCCGCCGGGGUCGCGGCGGUGGGCUUACGUGCGCGUGAUGUCCGGCACCAUCCUCGGCGGCGUGCUCGGGUUCUACGUCAUGCACCGCGUCGAGACCUCCUACAAGGCGAGGAUGGAGGAGAGGCUGCGGAGGUACGAGGCGCAUAUGCUCGCCAAGGCCAAGGAGGCGCAGCAGCUGCAGGACGAGGCGCAGCGGGAGGACAAAGCCCAGCUCCUACCCGACUCGUGACGCCGACAUCCAUGUCUUCCCCUCUUGCGCCUGCUCUUCCCUGAGCUGUUAGAAUAACAUAAGGCACUGGGGCACAGGAGUCCACUCUCUUUUUUUCAGAUGUAGAGACAUAAGAUCAACAUGUACUUUUGGCUUGUCACUGUCCUUUUUUUUUUGUUUUCAAGAAAAAUGCACCAUUUGAGUGCAAAGUUGGGGUCAAUGUAUGAAUGUCAGAUAUGAAUAUAACUAAUAACUUUGAUGUCUAUCUGCACGUACUGCUUUGCAAUCUUCUUUAUCCCAUCAACAUUAUCCAGGCAAUGAAGGAGCAUUGAAAA